GACGAACGCUGGCGGCGUGCCUAAUACAUGCAAGUUGAGCGCUGAAGGUUGGUACUUGUACCAACUGGAUGAGCAGCGAACGGGUGAGUAACGCGUGGGGAAUCUGCCUUUGAGCGGGGGACAACAUUUGGAAACGAAUGCUAAUACCGCAUAAAAACUUUAAACACAAGUUUUAAGUUUGAAAGAUGCAAUUGCAUCACUCAAAGAUGAUCCCGCGUUGUAUUAGCUAGUUGGUGAGGUAAAGGCUCACCAAGGCGAUGAUACAUAGCCGACCUGAGAGGGUGAUCGGCCCCCUUGGGACUGGGACACCGCCCAAACUCCUACGGGAGGCCGCAGUAGGGAAUCUUCGGCAAUGGACCGAAGUCUGACCGAGCAACGCCGCGUGAGUGAAGAAGGUUGUCGGAUCGUAAAACUCUGUUGGUAGAGAAGAACGUUGGUGAGAGUGGAAAGCUCAUCAAGUGACGGUAACUACCCAGAAAGGGACGGCUAACUACGUG
rnacentral:rRNA from 1 species